rnacentral:rRNA from 1 species
AGAGUUUGAUCCUGGCUCAGGAUGAACGCUAGCGACAGGCUUAACACAUGCAAGUCGAGGGGCAGCAUGAGGUAGCAAUACCUUGAUGGCGACCGGCGCACGGGUGAGUAACGCGUAUGCAACCUGCCCGAUACCGGGGUAUAGCCCAUGGAAACGUGGAUUAACACCCCAUAGUACUUUUAUCCUGCAUGGGAUGUGAGUUAAAUGUUCAAGGUAUCGGAUGGGCAUGCGUCCUAUUAGUUAGUUGGCGGGGUAACAGCCCACCAAGACGAUGAUAGGUAGGGGUUCUGAGAGGAAGGUCCCCCACAUUGGAACUGAGACACGGUCCAAACUCCUACGGGAGGCAGCAGUGAGGAAUAUUGGUCAAUGGACGUAAGUCUGAACCAGCCAAGUCGCGUGAGGGAAGACUGCCCUAUGGGUUGUAAACCUCUUUUAUAAGGGAAGAAUAAGUUCUACGUGUAGAAUGAUGCCUGUACCUUAUGAAUAAGCAUCGGCUAACUCCGUGCCAGCAGCCGCGGUAAUACGGAGGAUGCGAGCGUUAUCCGGAUUUAUUGGGUUUAAAGGGUGCGUAGGCGGUUUAUUAAGUUAGUGGUUAAAUAUUUGAGCUAAACUCAAUUGUGCCAUUAAUACUGGUAAACUGGAGUACAGACGAGGUAGGCGGAAUAAGUUAAGUAGCGGUGAAAUGCAUAGAUAUAACUUAGAACUCCGAUAGCGAAGGCAGCUUACCAGACUGUAACUGACGCUGAUGCACGAGAGCGUGGGUAGCGAACAGGAUUAGAUACCCUGGUAGUCCACGCCGUAAACGAUGCUCACUGGUUCUGUGCGAUAUAUUGUACGGGAUUAAGCGAAAGUAUUAAGUGAGCCACCUGGGGAGUACGUCGGCAACGAUGAAACUCAAAGGAAUUGACGGGGGCCCGCACAAGCGGAGGAACAUGUGGUUUAAUUCGAUGAUACGCGAGGAACCUUACCUGGGUUUAAAUGGGAAAUGCCGUAUUUGGAAACAGAUAUUCUCUUCGGAGCGUUUUUCAAGGUGCUGCAUGGUUGUCGUCAGCUCGUGCCGUG